rnacentral:rRNA from 1 species
GACGAACGCUGGCGGCGUGCCUAACACAUGCAAGUCGAACGGAAAGGCCCUGCUUUUGGGGGGUGCUCGAGUGGCGAACGGGUGAGUAACACGCGAGUAAACCGCCCCUGUAUUUGGGGUAAAUUUUGGGAAAUGGGGCUAAAAUCGGGUAGGAGCUACUGCUGCACGGGGGGGGGUGGAAAGUUUCGGCGGUUGGGGAUGGACUCGCGGCUUAUCAGCUUGUUGGUGGGGUAGUGGCUUACCAAGGCUUUGACGGGUAGCCGGCCUGAGAGGGUGACCGGCCACAUUGGGACUGAGAUACGGCCCAGACUCCUACGGGAGGCAGCAGUGGGGAAUAUUGCACAAUGGGCGGAAGCCUGAUGCAGCAACGCCGCGUGCGGGAUGACGGCCUUCGGGUUGUAAACCGCUUUCGCCUGUGACGAAGCGUGAGUGACGGUAAUGGGUAAAGAAGCACCGGCUAACUACGUG